UACGUAGGGUGCGAGCGUUAAUCGGAAUUACUGGGCGUAAAGCGUGCGCAGGCGGUUCGUUGUGUCGGCGGUGAAAGCCCCGGGCUUAACCUGGGAAUGGCCGUUGAAACUGGCGAACUGGAGUGUGGCAGAGGGGGGUGGAAUUCCGCGUGUAGCAGUGAAAUGCGUAGAGAUGCGGAGGAACACCGAUGGCGAAGGCGGGUCUCUGGACAGUUCCUGACGCUGAGGCACGAAGGUCAGGGGAGCAAACGGG
rnacentral:rRNA from 1 species